GGGGGCGACCUGGUUUCGACAGGGGUUGCAAAGCAGCGCAGGGCAUACCGAGGACUGGCUACCUCGUUAAUCCAACCGGAAAUGCUUAAAUGCAAACGAUGAAUCUUACGCUCUCGCAGCGUAAACCACUAGAAACCUAAGAACUUUCUAGCUCUACACCAUCUCUUCCCUGGGGUGGGCUGGCAACAGCAGUAGAGUCAUAUACAGGGAAUCGCGUUGCGUCGGGUUACUUGGCGUAACGUUAAAUUUAGGUGGCUCGCCUAGACGAAGCGUGUGCGUCCGCGUCGGCUGGGUUAAAACCAAUUGGCAGCACUAAGUAUGUAGAACUGUCUGUAGAGUGCUUCUGGACGCGGGUUCGAUUCCCGCCGCCUCCACCA
rfam:Herbaspirillum sp. TSA66 contig01, whole genome shotgun sequence.